GGGAAGGUGGCUCAGUGGUAGAGUGCUUGCCUUGCAUGCAUGAAGCCCUAGGUUCGAUUCCUCAGUUCUA
rnacentral:tRNA from 1 species